CCUACGGGUGGCAGCAGUGAGGAAUAUUGGUCAAUGGUCGGGAGACUGAACCAGCCAAGCCGCGUGAGGGAGGAAGGUACAGAGUAUCGUAAACCUCUUUUGUCAGGGAACAAAGACUGGGACGCGUCCCCGGAUGAGUGUACCUGAAGAAAAAGCAUCGGCUAACUCCGUGCCAGCAGCCGCGGUAAUACGGAGGAUGCGAGCGUUAUCCGGAUUUAUUGGGUGUAAAGGGCGUGUAGGCGGGACUGCAAGUCAGAUGUGAAAACCACGGGCUCAACCUGUGGCCUGCAUUUGAAACUGUAAGUCUUGAGUACUGGAGAGGCAGACGGAAUUCCUAGUGUAGCGGUGAAAUGCGUAGAUAUUAGGAGGAACACCGAUGGCGAAGGCAGUCUGCUGAACAGCAACUGACGCUGAGGCGCAAAAGCGUGGGGAGCAAACAGGAUUAGAUACCCCUGUAGUC
rnacentral:rRNA from 1 species